CGGUCAAAAUUUCUUUACAAAACUUUCACAGGAUAAUUCUUUCAUGUUAUAAAACUUAUUAAAAUAAUAAAAUAAAUAUUUUAACUCGGUUAAGUGGUCCUGAAACCACUUGUAAAGCCCAAAAUCUAUCCGGGACCAAAACAAAACCAAAAAUAUUAAAAGACAGUGGGCUCAAGUGGCCCAAAUACAAAAUUAACCCUAAGCCCAAAUACAAAAUUAACCCUAAGCCCAAAUCAACAGUAGCCCACAAACAUUCAAUAGAGAAGCAAACCCUAAAGCGCCGCACACCUUUGCCCAAUGCCCAGCGCCGCACGUUCUGCCGCCUCUGUCACUCCCCACGCACGUCGUUACUCGCCUAUCACCGACCGCCGGCCUCCUGACACUAGCAAACAAAGAAUAACACGCAACAUAAAAGACCAAAUAGAAAAAAAAACAACAUGCAAAAAGACAAAAGCAGAAAAAUAAAUAGGAAACGACAAAUGAAACAGAGAUUAAACGUUUGUAAUUUGGCUAUAAAAGCCAUAAGCUUUUUCUUUGUAUGGGUUCGAACACUUUUAAAAUAUCAGAAAUAAAAGAAAAUAGAGGUUAAUGCCCUAUUUCUUUUUCUUUUUUUUCGAUCUAUCUAUUCAUAAUUUUUAUUUAUUUAUUUAUUUAUUUACAAAUCUGUUCAAAAAAGGGAAACUAUUAAUAAAGUAAAGAAAGGAGAAAGAAACAUACCUGAAUCGGUCCUUCGCUGCCGUCGAAUUCGGGUUUAGGAAAGGGCCAAGACCUUUUCUUUCUCCUUGUUUCCCCAUCUAAGGUUUCGGUCUUUGAACGCGCUUCAACGUGUUGGUCGGAAACGCCCUCGUGCGACACCGUCCGUCAGCCACGGCGGCGCGAGCGAUGCCCCUGUUGGCCGGAUUUGGAGAGGCUGAGAGAGAGUUUUUGAAGGCUCUCUAAUUUUGUAAUGGGGUGGGGUAAAACUGAUUUUUUUGUUUGUUUUUUG
rnacentral:lncRNA from 1 species